GAUGAACGCUGGCGGCGUGCCUAAUACAUGCAAGUCGAGCGAACGGACGAGAAGCUUGCUUCUCUGAUGUUAGCGGCGGACGGGUGAGUAACACGUGGAUAACCUACCUAUAAGACUGGGAUAACUUCGGGAAACCGGAGCUAAUACCGGAUAAUAUUUUGAACCGCAUGGUUCAAAAGUAAAAGACGGUCUUGCUGUCACUUAUAGAUGGAUCCGCGCUGCAUUAGCUAGUUGGUAAGGUAACGGCUUACCAAGGCAACGAUGCAUAGCCGACCUGAGAGGGUGAUCGGCCACACUGGAACUGAGACACGGUCCAGACUCCUACGGGAGGCAGCAGUAGGGAAUCUUCCGCAAUGGGCGAAAGCCUGACGGAGCGACGCCGCGUGAGUGAUGAAGGUCUUCGGAUCGUAAAACUCUGUUAUUAGGGAAGAACAUAUGUGUAAGUAACUGUGCACAUCUUGACGGUACCUAAUCAGAAAGCCACGGCUAACUACGUG
rnacentral:rRNA from 1 species